rnacentral:rRNA from 1 species
UACGAAGGGGGCUAGCGUUGUUCGGAAUUACUGGGCGUAAAGCGCACGUAGGCGGAUUGUUAAGUGAGGGGUGAAAUCCCAGGGCUCAACCCUGGAACUGCCUUUCAUACUGGCAAUCUCGAGUCCGAGAGAGGUGACUGGAAUUCCUGGUGUAGCGGUGAAAUGCGUAGAUAUCGGGGAGGAACACCAGUGGCGAAGGCGAUCAUCUGGGGUUGUUCUGACGCUGGAGGAGCGAAAAGCUAGGGGGAGCAAACGGGG